rnacentral:rRNA from 1 species
AACGAACGCUGGCGGCAUGCCUAACACAUGCAAGUCGAACGAGACCUUCCGGCCUAGUGGCGCUCGGGUGCGUAACGAGGGGGAACCUGCCCUUAAGUUACGAAUCACUCCCCGAAAGGUGUCCUAAUACCACUUAAUCUCAUCCGACCAAAGAGUUAUUGCCUUUGGAUGGGCGCGCGUUAGAUUAGCUAGUUGGUAGGGUAAAAGCCUACCAAGGCGACGAUGCAUAGCUGGUCUGAGAGGAUGAUCAGCCACACUUGGACUGAGACACGGCCCAGACUGCUACGGGAGGCAGCAGUGUAGAAUAUUAGAGAAUGGGCGAAAGCCUGAUCCAGCAAUGCCGGGUGAGUGAUGAAGGCCUUAGUGUUGUAAAGCUCUCUUACACGGGAUGAUGAUGACAGUACCGGGUGAAUAAGCUCCGGCUAACUACGUG